rnacentral:rRNA from 1 species
UGGGGAAUAUUGCACAAUGGGCGCAAGCCUGAUGCAGCCAUGCCGCGUGUAUGAAGAAGGCCUUCGGGUUGUAAAGUACUUUCAGCGGGGAGGAAGUGAGUAAAGUUAAUACCUUUGCUCAUUGACGUUACCCGCAGAAGAAGCACCGGCUAACUCCGUGCCAGCAGCCGCGGUAAUACGGAGGGUGCAAGCGUUAAUUGGAAUUACUGGGCGUAAAGCGCACGCAGGCGGUUUGUUAAGUCAGAUGUGAAAUCCCCGGGCUCAACCUGGGAACUGCAUCUGAUACUGGCAAGCUUGAGUCUCGUAGAGGGGGGUAGAAUUCCAGGUGUAGCGGUGAAAUGCGUAGAGAUCUGGAGGAAUACCGGUGGCGAAGGCGGCCCCCUGGACGAAGACUGACGCUCAGGUGCGAAAGCGUGGGGAGCAAACAGG